AUUGCAUUAUUGUAAUGUUUGAAGGUUGAAUAAACGGAAAAAAAAAAAUAAAUAAAUAAAAAAAAUCUGUUCUUAUCAGUUUAAUAUCUGAUACGUCCCCUAUACGGGGACUUCAUAUUAAACGGAUUUUUAGAACAGGGAGGCGAAACAGGGGCUUGCCCCGUUCGCCCCACGCAUCGGCCUGGUAUUGCAGUGCCUCCGGGAACGGUGCACCUUCU
ensembl:snRNA U2 U2 spliceosomal RNA